CGAGAGAAACUCAAGAAAAUGCAGGAAAAGAAAAAGUCAAAAUCCAAAGGAGAAAGUAAAGAUUCCUCUGAGGCUGCCACAGAGUCAAGUCAAGAUAAACAGGAGAAAACUGAAGCUGAAGCAGAGCCUACAGGAGAUGGAGAGGAGGGAGAAAAAGAAGGAGAAAAAGAUGAAAAGAAGAAGAAAAAGAAAGGAGAAAAAGAGGAGAAACAGAAGAAGAAGAAAGCUCCAGUUGCUGCAAUUAAACUAAUGCAACAAAAAUUAAAAGAGGAGGAAGAGAGAU
rnacentral:misc_RNA from 1 species